UGCCUGUUCGAGCGUCAUUGCAACCCUCAAGCACUGCUUGGUAUUGGAUGCCACUAUUUUAGUGUGUCUCAAAAGUAUUAGUGGCGGCAUUUAGCUUCUAGCAUAGUAAAUUUCUUGCUCUGGAGCUUGGAUGUCUACCUGCCAGAACCCACAUUUCAAAGGUUGACCUCGGAUCAGGUAGGGAUACCCGCUGAACUUAA
rnacentral:misc_RNA from 1 species